rnacentral:hammerhead_ribozyme from 1 species
AUCCAGCUGAUGAAUCCCGAAUAGGACGAAACGCGCGUCCUGGAU